rnacentral:snRNA from 1 species
GUGCUGGCUUCAGCAGCACUUACACUAAAAUAAGAGGAACGCAGAGUUGGGUAGAAUGGACCUACUCUAGGAUGACAUGCAAAUUCGUGAAGCAUUCUAUGCUAAA